rnacentral:pre_miRNA from 1 species
CUUGUACUCCCUCCGUCCGAAAAUACCUGUCAUUGAAAUGGAUGUAUCUGGAUGUAUUUUAGUUCUAGACACAUCCAUUUUGAUGACAAGUAAUUCCGAACAGAGGGAGUACUUG